CAGUAAGACACAGCUGUGGCACCAAACAGACAGAGGUAAUAAUCAGAGAGAACAGUUCAUGUUCAUCAACACACAGCUGCUGUGUGGAGUUUUACACAGAAAACAACAGAGACAGAUGUUCACAUCUUAAACCACCAGAGACAAUGCUCUGAGAAACAUUUGAAACUUCUGAAUGUGUAGAGAUUCAUUCAGCUUCCAUCAGCCUGAUUGGAAACAGAGCACAGCAAGAGGAGGAGCUACACAACUGAAUAUGAAAGGCUUCAUUUUGGAACUGAAGAGCUGCUGUGUUCUCUCUAUUCUUCAUUCAGGACAAGUCAAAUGAUGCUACUGCUUUUAGUUUGGAUGAUGAUAGUCUCCUUUCAUACUGGAUCCUCUGAGGAUUUAGUGAAACCAUCUAAAGAUGUAAUGAUGGCUUUAGAAGGAGACACUGUGACUCUCUCCUGCAGCUAUUCUCAGUCUGUACAAAGCCUCUACUGGUAUCAACAGAAGUUCAGUUCAUCUCCACA